UACGUAGGCAGCGAGCGUUGUUCGGAUUUACUGGGCGUAAAGAGUGUGUAGGCGGCGCUCUAAGUUCGGUGUGAAAUCUCCUGGCUUAACUGGGAGGGUGCGCCGGAUACUGGAGUGCUUGAGUGUGGGAGAGGAAAGCGGAAUUCCUGGUGUAGCGGUGAAAUGCGUAGAUAUCAGGAGGAACACCGAUGGCGAAGGCAGGUCUCUGGGCCGAUACUGACGCUGAGGAGCGAAAGCGUGGGGAGCGAACAGG
rnacentral:rRNA from 1 species